AUUGAACGCUGGCGGCAGGCCUAACACAUGCAAGUCGAGCGAGCGGCGGACGGGUGAGUAAUGUAUGGGGACUGCCCGAUAGAGGGGGAUAACUACUGGAAACGGUAGCUAAUACCGCAUACUAUCGGAUAACCCAUAUGGGAUUAGCUAGUAGGUGAGGUAAUGGCUCACCUAGGCGACGAUCCCUAGCUUGUCUGAGAGGAUGAUCAGCCAAACGUGGACCUAGACACGGCCCCGACGCCUACGGAGGCAGGAGUGGGGAAUAUUGCACAAUGGGGGCAAGCCUGAGGCAGCCCUUCCGGGUGUUUGAAGAAGGCCCUAGGGUUGUAAAGUACUUUCAGUCGGGAGGCGUUACCGACAGAAGAAGCACCGGCUAACUCCGUGCCAGCCGCCGCGGUAAUUC
rnacentral:rRNA from 1 species